rnacentral:rRNA from 1 species
CAGUAGCCGCGGUAAUACGUAGGGUGCGAGCGUCAAUCGGAAUUACUGGGCGUAAAGCGUGCGCAGGCGGUUGUGUAAGACAGGUGUGAAAUCCCCGGGCUUAACCUGGGAACUGCGCUUGUGACUGCACAGCCAGAGUAUGGCAGAGGGGGGUGGAAUUCCACGUGUAGCAGUGAAAUGCGUAGAGAUGUGGAGGAACACCGAUGGCGAAGGCAGCCCCCUGGGCCAAUACUGACGCUCAUGCACGAAAGCGUGGGGAGCAAACAGGAUUAGAUACCCGUGUAGUCCCUGUCUCUUAUAC